rnacentral:rRNA from 1 species
CCUACGGGAGGCAGCAGUAAGGAAUAUUGGUCAAUGGAGGCAACUCUGAACCAGCCAUGCCGCGUGCAGGAAGAAGGCCCUAUGGGUCGUAAACUGCUUUUGUACCAGAGAAAACCACAGUACGUGUACUGUGUUGAUAGUAUGGUAAGAAUAAGCAUCGGCUAACUUCGUGCCAGCAGCCGCGGUAAGACGAAGGAUGCAAGCGUUAUCCGGAUUCAUUGGGUUUAAAGGGUGCGUAGGCGGACUGAUAAGUCAGUGGUGAAAUCUCUCAGCUUAACUGAGAAACUGCCAUUGAUACUGUUAGUCUAGAGUAUAGAUGACGUUGGCGGAAUAUGACAUGUAGUGGUGAAAUACUUAGAUAUGUCAUAGAACACCGAUUGCGAAGGCAGCUAACGAAACUAUAACUGACGCUGAGGCACGAAAGUGCGGGGAUCAAACAGGAUUAGAUACCCUGGUAGUCCGCACCGUAAACGAUGAUUACUCGUUGUUGGCAAAUAUGACCGUCAGCGACCAACGACGAAGACGAUAAGUAAGUACCACCCGUCGGGUAGGUACGGCCGGCCGACGGUACGGAACGUAAACGUAAGUAAGUAGACGAGNGAGAGCGACGGACGGACGACGACGGAGGGAGGAG